AGUACUUUGUUCCUUAUUCAACACAAGGUAUUAUUAUGAUUGUUUUAUUCCUUCACUUUUUUUCCCCUUUUUAAUACCAGGGAAGAAAGAGACAGUCACAUGUACCAACAGAGUGAUGUGGAUCCUCCAGGAAGGCUAAUUAAAGCAGUGUGGAAAAAGAAAACUACACCAAGUUGGCGUGACCUGUACACUGAAGACCUCACAUCUUUAUAUUGGACUCUAGAUUUUACUCAGCAUUUACUCUGCCUAUGACAUCACCUGUGCCAAACUUCCAAAGGCUGUUUGGGACAUACAGCUGCUAGUAGGACAUUUUGGAGACAAAAGGUUUGUGCAAGUUUAACUUGGAGCAUGAACUGGUCUGAAGAAAGUGACAGCCAAUUUGUCAUACUUGUGUGGUAUUGGAGGAAUACUGCAAGGUAGCCCCAACAAACAAAGAUUUGUAUUCUGGAUCCAAAUGAAGUCUUGCUGCUUUUGCUGAUCACUUGCUAGUGGAGACUGACACCCGUUUGCAGAAGAAUCAGCACACAGACUUUCAAGGUUACCAACAGGGAACUUCUGCACAGAACUGCAUCAUCUCCAGCCAAGACUUCAUUCCUUUGCUCCUAACACACUCUACUUACCAAAUUAUCCAUUGAACUCCUCUGCUCUUACAAAAGAAAAAAAAAAAAAAAAAAAAGGAAGAAAAUUGUGUACAAGGCAGAAAGGUAGGGAUGGAUACUGGCUACAAGGUCAGUGCAGCUUUAUGAAUGAACCCAAAAUUUUGGUUUUGCUGAACAAUUUCUAGUGGAAACUGACACAAGUGUGAAUUUUGCCAUCUUGUUUGAACUUUUGAAAUCAAGGUGUUACUGGUUAAAUGUGAACUUUCAGUGUUUCAAAUGAUCCUGGGUGAGGGGCAGGAAAGAAGAGCAAGAAAUCACCCAUCAAAACAAUAAGUCUUUAUUUAUUUAUGGGCCUUUAGUCUUCUGAUGGGUCAGUUAAGACUAAAACCAUCUGUAGGCUUCUCUGUUCUGUCCCUUGUCACCCCAAUCCAUACCUCUGUCAGAUGUUUCUGUAAUGAGUUCUAAACUACCUUAAUUUUUAGAAAACAAACAGAAGGAGAACGGUAUUACCUUAACCUGAGACA